rnacentral:rRNA from 1 species
AGGACGAACGCUGGCGGCGUGCUUAACACAUGCAAGUCGAGCGGAAAGGCCCUUCGGGGUACUCGAGCGGCGAACGGGUGAGUAACACGUGAGCAACCUGCCCUUAGCUUCGGGAUAGCUCCGGGAAACCGGAAUUAAUACCGAAUAUGACUUUGGCUGACAUCAGCAGAAGUGGAAAGUUUUUCGGCUAGGGAUGGGCCCGCGGCCUAUCAGCUUGUUGGUGGGGUAACGGCCUACCAAGGCGACGACGGGUA